UGCUGUUUUAUGUUUCUAUUUCCAAUUUCAGAUGCGUUUUCUGCUGUUGGUUGUUGUUGUGGCGCUGACUGUGACGGACGUGUCAGGCGGCAGGUGGUGGAGAAGACUUAAGAAAGAGUGACGCAAGAUAUGGAAGAAAGAAAAGGGAAAUAUAAUAAACAACGGCAUAAAGUUAAUCCACGCUGGACGAAGUAUUGAUGACCUUGAUCAGAACGGCGAUGGUGUCCUGACUAGAUCCGAACUACAGCGGCAUAUGAAUGAACGGGAAGUUGAUGCCUUGCUGGACAUUCUAGAUGAAAACGGUGAGGAACACGUGACGCGUGACGUUCUGGAAAGGUACGCACAAGAAGCACUCAUCAAUACAAGCCAAUGAUAUCAACGAAGGUACCGAAGUGACUGGACAUAGAUCAAAUGUAAUCAGCUGGUUGAUUUUGAAUAAAGUGACGUCACUUUCA